UACGUAGGGUGCAAGCGUUAAUCGGAAUUACUGGGCGUAAAGCGUGCGCAGGCGGUCUGUUAAGACCGAUGUGAAAUCCCCCGGGCUUAACCUGGGAACUGCAUUGGUGACUGGCGGGCUUGAGUGUGGCAGAGGGGGGUGGAAUUCCGCGUGUAGCAGUGAAAUGCGUAGAGAUGCGGAGGAACACCGAUGGCGAAGGCAGCCCCCUGGGCUAACACUGACGCUGAGGCACGAAAGCGUGGGGAGCAAACAGG
rnacentral:rRNA from 1 species